AAGGUCCUAGCUUAAUUAAAGUAUCUGAGUUGCAUUCAGGGGAUGCAAGGUAACAUCUUGCGGAUCUUA
rnacentral:tRNA from 1 species